ACGAACGCUGGCGGCGUGCUUAACACAUGCAAGUCGAACGGAAAGGCCCUGCUUUUGUGGGGUGCUCGAGUGGCGAACGGGUGAGUAACACGUGAGUAACCUGCCCUUGACUUUGGGAUAACUUCAGGAAACUGGGGCUAAUACCGGAUAGGAGCUCCUGCUGCAUGGUGGGGGUUGGAAAGUUUCGGCGGUUGGGGAUGGACUCGCGGCUUAUCAGCUUGUUGGUGGGGUAGUGGCUUACCAAGGCUUUGACGGGUAGCCGGCCUGAGAGGGUGACCGGCACAUUGGGACUGAGAUACGGCCCAGACUCCUACGGGAGGCAGCAGUGGGGAAUAUUGCACAAUGGGCGGAAGCCUGAUGCAGCAACGCCGCGUGCGGGAUGACGGCCUUCGGGUUGUAAACCGCUUUCGCCUGUGACGAAGCGUGAGUGACGGUAAUGGGUAAAGAAGCACCGGCUAACUACGUG
rnacentral:rRNA from 1 species